UUUUUUUUUUUUUUUUUUUUUUUUUUUUUUUGAGACAGGGUUUCUCUGUGUAGCCCUGGCUGUCCUGGAACUCACUUUGUAGACCAGGCUGGCCUCGAACUCAGAAAUCCGCCUGCCUCUGCCUCCCAAAUGCUGGGAUUAACGGCGUGCGCCACCACCUGGCCCUGUAUCUUUCUAUGACAGCAUCUAAAGAAGCUGCCAUUAACCAGAACCUGUCAGUAUGGCAGCCUUCAUUGUCUCUUUUCCCAUCGUCCUUCAGCUCCUCCUUGGCUUAGUAACUGACUUUUCCCCUUUAAUUUGUAAAGAAAUAUGUUCAUAAAAACAUAUGAAAAAGUGUAAAUUACCCAGUAGUUAAGUGAGAACUUUGUAGUGGCAUUGUAAAGUAGUCUCUGGGACAAGGUUGUAACAUUGUUAUUUCAUACAACACAAAUACUUACCAUUUCUAAUUGUGGCUUUGAGUCUAACAUUGACAUAGGGUUUCAUAUAUACCAUGUUUUCAGAUGAUUAAAUGCUUUUGUAAACUUAAAAAUCUUUCCCUUGAAAUAGCACAGAAGUAAGGAAACAUCCUAGAGUUGGCCAUUUCUAUGCUAUUAAGCCUCAUUUGCAGGCUGAAGACGUAAAGUUCUAUUAAAUAAUAAAUUAAGUAUACUAUAAGAAAAAUGUUAUAAAUAGUAUUGUUAAUGUAUGGAUACAAAUGACUGGGGAGAGUUUCAUCUGAAUCUUUUAAUACUAAAAGGCACAGACUGUCUCAUUUCAGAUUGUUCCUUUAGAAUUUGGAUCAGAGACCACAAAGAGCCAACGUACAGCUUCAUUUCCUGUUACUUUUCAUAGAGUAUAAUCUCUAGAGUCCAUAUUCAAGACAAAACACUGUAAAUAACUUUAGGAGAAAUUUUCAUAAAGAAAUUUCCAAAAUAAUGUAACUAGUAAGACUAUAUCUGAGGCUAUAAGAUUAAGUAAUUUUUACUUGUUACAGGAUAAUACAAUAUUUAUAUUUUCCAAAUGAAAUAAUACUGCUAUCAUACUAGAGGUUGCUCAUAAGCUCAGUUAACAGAAAUAACUAUUUCACUAAAAAUUUUAUGCUCUGAACACAAAACAUUGGCUUCUUUAUUUCAUUUUAAUACAGUACUUUAAAUAUAUAUUGUGAGGAUAAUUUGCUAGAAAAAUCUUAAUUUAUUCAAGAACCAUUGUGGACUUCUUGCGUGACCCUGUCAUGCAUUAUGAACAAAAAAAAAAUCACAACAUUUGAUUUUUUAUUAUAUACACACAUAUUAUAUAUUUGAACUAGGAGAACAUAAACAAAACUGACAAUAUAGUAAAUAUCUUUUAGUUCCUACUCAUUAGAAUAAGUUAUUAAAAUAGGUUUCCUGCCGGGCCGUGGUGGCGCACGCCUUUAAUCCCAGCACUUGGGAGGCAGAGGCAGGCGGAUUUCUGAGUUCAGGGCCAACCUGGUCUACAGUGUGAGUUCCAGGACAGCCAGGGCUGCACAGAGAAACCCUGCCUUGAAAAUUAUAUAUAUUUUUCCUUAGAGAAAAUGAAUAAGAAUAGAAAAGGUAUUUUUAUAAAAGUAAUCUUUCUCAGUGGAUUAUAAUUUUAAAAUAUUGAGUAAAUUUUUUACACUGUUAGAUUAAGAUUUGCUUCUAAGGUUUGUCUUCGAACAAUAUCAAAAUAUUCCAUCCAUUAAUAUUAUGUGUUACUUUUUAGCUAUUUACCAUUUUAUUGUUUUUUAUAAUUAUCAAGAUAAUAUUAAAUUGAUGUAGCUCUGCUCUUAUGUAUAUCAUAUUUAUUGGCUUUUACUACAUUACUAACUCAAUUAACUACUUAGACUUAAUGCUAUAAUAUCUUUAGUCGUGUCCAUGAGUUAAAUACAGAAAUGAUGAUUCCAUUUUUAAAAGUUUUUAGAGUGCUCUGUGUAAAAAUGUUAUUCGUGUUUGUGUAUAUGAGUUAUUGUCAGCUAAUCUUAAAAUCAGUCUUAGGCAUCUUUAAUUCUAGUGUAUUUAAUGAAUAUCCUGAAAUUUUAGUUAAUUGCUUUUAAUGGUAAGAAGAAACCAUUAAUUACAAAUACAUGAUAAGGAUUAGCAUGUAAUUAUAGUUAAAAUGAACACCACAGUCAUGUUGGUGAUGAUUAAAGGUCUGGUGAGAGGGUAAGUGACAUGUUUUCCUCAUCUGCCUUGUUAAGCUGCGUUUGAGAGAGUCUUCAUAAUGGCAGCAAUCCCCAGAUGAUGUGACAGCGUAGUGGCUUUAUUUCCUUAGCUUCUGCUUUUAAUAGAAUCUUAUAAAAGAUUUGAGUUUGAUGUUCAAAAAAUUUUUUUGCCAAGAGUGUUUUCAUGUUUAAUUAUGCUUUUUGUUUCUUGCGUUUAUUGGAAUUACACAUAGAAAAGUAGAGUUGUAAUUUUCAAACUCCAUAGUGGUUUUUUUUUCAAAAAUCAGAAUGUUAUUGUAAAUGAUAUAGUUGGAUUUUUUUUAAUAUUCCCACUCAAUACCAUUUCAAAAUACUACUGCUGUGUAGUUACUUAGUUUCUUUAAAAAGAAAAAUAAUUAGAUUUUUUAAUGAAAUUGAGUUUUAGUUUAAGAGCAUAUAGCUCUAAAUGCACAGAUAGUGAUUUUUGCUGUUCUAUUUUAUUGUAGGUAACACUAGUUGGUCUUUCUACAGUAUUACUGUAGUUUUCAAUAUAGCCUGGGUUUACUUGUUGCAGCUAAGAAAAUAAUUUUUAUUUCCUCAUUUUUGUUCUCUUUCAUUGACACUAAUUAGUGAAAACUAGUUAAGAAGAAACAACAAAUUAAUACAUGGCAGAAAUUCUUCAAAAGAAAAAGAUUUCUAUUAAAGGGUUCAAGAAUUCUGAAGUCAGCAAUCACAAAUUAAACUGAUAGUGAGUCUUUUUCUUUCUCUAGUGGCUUACUCACUGCCAUGUCAUAUCUUUAUGGGACCAUAAAACAUGCUGAUAAAUGUUUUAACACCUGACUCUGGUCAAUAAACUGCUAAAUAAACUGCCAGUUUUGUGAUAGAAACUCUUGUUCACCCACAGCCGAGAAGGUGGUGCGGCUGCAUGCUUUAACUCUGGUGCUGGACACUGGACACUGUGCUCACCUCUGCUAGCUCACGGUCCCACUACUCAAGGAGUAGGCUUGCUCUAAAAUGUGGGUCAGUAUUAGUGAAAACACAAGCUAUCUGCCCUUGACUGUAGACAUAUUGAAGCCACAAGACUUAGAGGUCAAAGUCAUUGGAACUAUUUAUUCCUAUUCACAGAAUUACCUUGGAUCCAGGGUUUAUUGUCUUACUGUUGAGUAUUAGGGCUUCAGGAUCUCAUGAUAGC
rnacentral:lncRNA from 1 species